GAUGAACGCUAGCGGCAGGCCUAACACAUGCAAGUCGAACGGUAACAGGGAUUGCUUGCAAUCCGCUGACGAGUGGCGCACGGGUGCGUAACGCGUAUGCAAUCUGCCUAUAACUGAGGGAUAGCCCAGAGAAAUUUGGAUUAAUACCUCAUAAUAUUGGUUUUUGGCAUCAUUAAACAAUUAAAACUUCGGUGGUUAUAGAUGAGCAUGCGUCCUAUUAGCUUGUUGGUAAGGUAACGGCUUACCAAGGCAACGAUAGGUAGGGGGCCUGAAAGGGUGAUCCCCCACACUGGUACUGAGACACGGACCAGACUCCUACGGGAGGCAGCAGUGAGGAAUAUUGCGCAAUGGAGGAAACUCUGACGCAGCCAUGCCGCGUGCAGGAAGACGGCCCUACGGGUUGUAAACUGCUUUUAUUUAGGAAUAAACCCUUCUACGUGUAGAAGGCUGAAUGUACUAAACGAAUAAGCACCGGCUAACUCCGUG
rnacentral:rRNA from 1 species